rnacentral:rRNA from 1 species
AACUAACGCUGGCGGCGUGCCUAACACAUGCAAGUCGUACGAGAAAGUUGGCUUCGGCCGAUGAGUAAAGUGGCGCACGGGUGAGUAAUGCGUGGAUAAUCUGCCCUUUAGUUGGGAAUAACGUACCGAAAGGUGCGCUAAUACCUGAUAAUACUGCAUAACUACUGUUGUGUAGUCAAAGAAGGCCUCUGUUUACAAGCUUUUGCUGAAGGAUGAGUCCGCGUACCAUUAGCUGGUUGGUGGGGUAAUGGCCUACCAAGGCUACGAUGGUUAGCUGGUCUGAGAGGAUGAUCAGCCACACUGGAACUGAGACACGGUCCAGACUCCUACGGGAGGCAGCAGUGAGGAAUAUUGCGCAAUGGGGGCAACCCUGACGCAGCAACGCCGCGUGAGUGAGGAAGGUUUUCGGACCGUAAAGCUCUGUCGAGCGGGAAGAAAUGUAUCAUGGCUAAUAUCCAUGAUACUUGACGGUACCGCUAAAGGAAGACC